GACGAACGCUGGCGGCGUGCCUAAUACAUGCAAGUAGAACGCUGAAGGAGGAGCUUGCUCUUCUGGAUGAGUUGCGAACGGGUGAGUAACGCGUAGGUAACCUGCCUGGUAGCGGGGGAUAACUAUUGGAAACGAUAGCUAAUACCGCAUAACAUUGACUAUUGCAUGAUAGUCAAUUAAAAGGUGCAAAUGCACCACUACCAGAUGGACCUGCGUUGUAUUAGCUAGUUGGUGGGGUAACGACUCACCAAGGCGACGAUACAUAGCCGACCUGAGAGGGUGAUCGGCCACACUGGGACUGAGACACGGCCCAGACUCCUACGGGAGGCAGCAGUAGGGAAUCUUCGGCAAUGGACGGAAGUCUGACCGAGCAACGCCGCGUGAGUGAAGAAGGUUUUCGGAUCGUAAAGCUCUGUUGUAAGAGAAGAACGAGUGUGAGAGUGGAAAGUUCACACUGUGACGGUAUCUUACCAGAAAGGGACGGCUAACUACGUG
rnacentral:rRNA from 1 species